AUCACCUGGGGAUCAUGUUAAAAUGCAGAUUCUGAUUCCGUUGACCCAGGGUGAGACUGGAGAUUCUGCAUGUAUAACAAGUUCCCAGGUGAUACUGA
rnacentral:pre_miRNA from 1 species